AAAGUACUCCCUCCGUUCCAAAAUUCUUGUCUUGGAUUUGUCUAGAUACGGAUGUAUCAAGUCACAUUUUAGUAUUAGAUACAUCCGUAUCUAGACAAAUCUAAGACAAGAAAUUUGGGACAGAGGGAGUAGUUG
rnacentral:pre_miRNA from 1 species